rnacentral:rRNA from 1 species
GAUUAAGUUAUUAAGGGCGCACGGUGGAUGCCUUGGCACUAGAAGCCGAUGAAGGACGUUACUAACGACGAUAUGCUUUGGGGAGCUGUAAGUAAGCUUUGAUCCAGAGAUUUCCGAAUGGGGAAACCCAGCAUGAGUUAUGUCAUGUUAUCGAUAUGUGAAUACAUAGCAUAUCAGAAGGCACACCCGGAGAACUGAAACAUCUUAGUACCCGGAGGAAGAGAAAGAAAAUUCGAUUCCCUUAGUAGCGGCGAGCGAAACGGGAAGAGCCCAAACCAGCAAGCUUGCUUGUUGGGGUUGUAGGACACUCUAUACGGAGUUACAAAGGACGACAUUAGACGAAUCAUCUGGAAAGAUGAAUCAAAGAAGGUAAUAAUCCUGUAGUCGAAAAUGUUGUCUCUCUUGAGUGGAUCCUGAGUACGACGGAGCACGUGAAAUUCCGUCGGAAUCUGGGAGGACCAUCUCCUAAGGCUAAAUACUCUCUAGUGACCGAUAGUGAACCAGUACCGUGAGGGAAAGGUGAAAAGCACCCCGGAAGGGGAGUGAAAUAGAACCUGAAACCGUGUGCUUACAAGUAGUCAGAGCCCGUUAAUGGGUGAUGGCGUGCCUUUUGUAGAAUGAACCGGCGAGUUACGAUUUGAUGCAAGGUUAAGCAGUAAAUGUGGAGCCGUAGCGAAAGCGAGUCUGAAUAGGGCGUUUAGUAUUUGGUCGUAGACCCGAAACCAGGUGAUCUACCCUUGGUCAGGUUGAAGUUCAGGUAACACUGAAUGGAGGACCGAACCGACUUACGUUGAAAAGUGAGCGGAUGAACUGAGGGUAGCGGAGAAAUUCCAAUCGAACCUGGAGAUAGCUGGUUCUCUCCGAAAUAGCUUUAGGGCUAGCCUCAAGUGAUGAUUAUUGGAGGUAGAGCACUGUUUGGACGAGGGGCCCCUCUCGGGUUACCGAAUUCAGACAAACUCCGAAUGCCAAUUAAUUUAACUUGGGAGUCAGAACAUGGGUGAUAAGGUCCGUGUUCGAAAGGGAAACAGCCCAGACCACCAGCUAAGGUCCCAAAAUAUAUGUUAAGUGGAAAAGGAUGUGGCGUUGCCCAGACAACUAGGAUGUUGGCUUAGAAGCAGCCAUCAUUUAAAGAGUGCGUAAUAGCUCACUAGUCGAGUGACACUGCGCCGAAAAUGUACCGGGGCUAAACAUAUUACCGAAGCUGUGGAUUGUCCUUUGGACAAUGGUAGGAGAGCGUUCUAAGGGUGUUGAAGCAUGAUCGUAAGGACAUGUGGAGCGCUUAGAAGUGAGAAUGCCGGUGUGAGUAGCGAAAGACGGGUGAGAAUCCCGUCCACCGAUUGACUAAGGUUUCCAGAGGAAGGCUCGUCCGCUCUGGGUUAGUCGGGUCCUAAGCUGAGGCCGACAGGCGUAGGCGAUGGAUAACAGGUUGAUAUUCCUGUACCACCUAUAAUCGUUUUAAUCGAUGGGGGGACGCAGUAGGAUAGGCGAAGCGUGCGAUUGGAUUGCACGUCUAAGCAGUAAGGCUGAGUAUUAGGCAAAUCCGGUACUCGUUAAGGCUGAGCUGUGAUGGGGAGAAGACAUUGUGUCUUCGAGUCGUUGAUUUCACACUGCCGAGAAAAGCCUCUAGAUAGAAAAUAGGUGCCCGUACCGCAAACCGACACAGGUAGUCAAGAUGAGAAUUCUAAGGUGAGCGAGCGAACUCUCGUUAAGGAACUCGGCAAAAUGACCCCGUAACUUCGGGAGAAGGGGUGCUCUUUAGGGUUAACGCCCAGAAGAGCCGCAGUGAAUAGGCCCAAGCGACUGUUUAUCAAAAACACAGGUCUCUGCUAAACCGUAAGGUGAUGUAUAGGGGCUGACGCCUGCCCGGUGCUGGAAGGUUAAGAGGAGUGGUUAGCUUCUGCGAAGCUACGAAUCGAAGCCCCAGUAAACGGCGGCCGUAACUAUAACGGUCCUAAGGUAGCGAAAUUCCUUGUCGGGUAAGUUCCGACCCGCACGAAAGGCGUAACGAUUUGGGCACUGUCUCAACGAGAGACUCGGUGAAAUCAUAGUACCUGUGAAGAUGCAGGUUACCCGCGACAGGACGGAAAGACCCCGUGGAGCUUUACUGUAGCCUGAUAUUGAAAUUCGGCACAGCUUGUACAGGAUAGGUAGGAGCCUUUGAAACGUGAGCGCUAGCUUACGUGGAGGCGCUGGUGGGAUACUACCCUAGCUGUGUUGGCUUUCUAACCCGCACCACUUAUCGUGGUGGGAGACAGUGUCAGGCGGGCAGUUUGACUGGGGCGGUCGCCUCCUAAAAGGUAACGGAGGCGCUCAAAGGUUCCCUCAGAAUGGUUGGAAAUCAUUCAUAGAGUGUAAAGGCAUAAGGGAGCUUGACUGCGAGACCUACAAGUCAAGCAGGGUCGAAAGACGGACUUAGUGAUCCGGUGGUUCCGCAUGGAAGGGCCAUCGCUCAACGGAUAAAAGCUACCCCGGGGAUAACAGGCUUAUCUCCCCCAAGAGUUCACAUCGACGGGGAGGUUUGGCACCUCGAUGUCGGCUCAUCGCAUCCUGGGGCUGUAGUCGGUCCCAAGGGUUGGGCUGUUCGCCCAUUAAAGCGGUACGCGAGCUGGGUUCAGAACGUCGUGAGACAGUUCGGUCCCUAUCCGUCGUGGGCGUAGGAAAUUUGAGAGGAGCUGUCCUUAGUACGAGAGGACCGGGAUGGACAUACCUCUGGUGUACCAGUUGUCGUGCCAACGGCAUAGCUGGGUAGCUAUGUGUGGACGGGAUAAGUGCUGAAAGCAUCUAAGCAUGAAGCCCCCCUCAAGAUGAGAUUUCCCAACUUCGGUUAUAAGAUCCCUCAAAGAUGAUGAGGUUAAUAGGUUCGAGGUGGAAGCAUGGUGACAUGUGGAGCUGACGAAUACUAAUCGAUCGAAGACUUAAUCAA